rnacentral:rRNA from 1 species
GACGUAGGGCGCGAGCGUUGUCCGGAUUUAUUGGGCGUAAAGAGCUCGUAGGCGGUCUGUCGCGUUUGCUGUGAAAACCUGGGGCUUAACCCCGGGCCUGCAGUGGGUACGGGCAGACUAGAGUGCGGUAGGGGAGACUGGAAUUCCUGGUGUAGCGGUGAAAUGCGCAGAUAUCAGGAGGAACACCGGUGGCGAAGGCGGGUCUCUGGGCCGUAACUGACGCUGAGGAGCGAAAGCAUGGGGGAGCGAACAGG